GUAUCUUUAAGCAGCAAGGUAUUUGUUUAUUCAACAUUGGGAACAAGCCAGCUCGUGCUGGACAAACUUGUUCGACUUGAAAGUGCAAAACUAAGCCAUUUUAUACACUUUAGAUACAUGGUUACAUCAUUUAUUAUACAUAUUAAUAAGUAGACAAAUCUCUGGGCGGAG